GCGCCACCCCAUGCAGGCUGGGGACAAGGGGGUGCAGAAGCAGAAGUUGCUGCAAACUCUGAGCUCUUGUACCCCAAGAGAAAGAAGAAAAUGUCCAUUUCCAACUCAGCUAUCCAACAUCUGCUGACUCCAUGCUUUGUACAUCUGCCAAAUUAAUCUUCCUAAAUAGAACCUGCAUUGUGUCAGUCUGUAUUGGAACACUCCCAAGUCACUGCAAUGUCCAUAAUAAAACAAAAUUCAAGAUCUGCCGCAAGUCAGAUUGGAGUGCAGUGGUGUGAUCAUAGCUCAGUACAGCUUCGAACUCCUUGGCUCAACUGACCCUUCCACCUCACCCUUCCUAGCAGCUUGGACUACAGGUGAAAUCUGAUUAAAACAAGCACUGCUUGCUUCACACAGAAGUGGAAUCACAAAAGGAAAACAGGUAACCUGAAGCCUGUGUGUAGGAGAAAGGAACACAGCUUCCUUAUUUAGUUAUUUCAUUUGAGAAUUGUAUGUGGUAUGUAUAUGAAGAGUUUGGGAAGGGGGAUAAAUUGUAGGUGUGUAAGUGCAUCUCUGAU
rnacentral:lncRNA from 10 species